rnacentral:lncRNA from 1 species
ACAUGCGUGACUAUCACAUAGUCCUUUUGUUCAUGUUAAUUUCUUAUGAUAUUUUAUGUAUUAAUCUCUUUUCAUCCUAGGACAAUCAUUCCAUAUAACAACCCUCGUUAUGUGAGGGCAACCUUAUAUUAGGAUGAUCUAAGAUUGUGUUAUAAAACCUAUGUCCCAUUAAAUUAUUCUAAUUUGAAAACAUCCAUAUCAUCA